GACUGCUCCGGUAGCCUAGUGGUUAAAGCGUCCAUCUAGGAUGCGGGAGACCAUGGGUUCGAUCUCCGGCCAAGUCA